UACGUAGGGUGCAAGCGUUGUCCGGAAUUAUUGGGCGUAAAGAGCUCGUAGGCGGUCUGUCACGUCGGCUGUGAAAACCCGAGGCUCAACCUCGGGCCUGCAGUCGAUACGGGCAGACUAGAGUUCGGUAGGGGAGACUGGAAUUCCUGGUGUAGCGGUGAAAUGCGCAGAUAUCAGGAGGAACACCGAUGGCGAAGGCAGGUCUCUGGGCCACUACUGACGCUGAGAAGCGAAAGCAUGGGGAGCGAACAGG
rnacentral:rRNA from 1 species